rnacentral:rRNA from 1 species
GUUGUUAAAGAAGAACACGUAUGAGAGUAACUGUUCAUACGUUGACGGUAUUUAACCAGAAAGUCACGGCUAACUACGUGCCAGCAGCCGCGGUAAUACGUAGGUGGCAAGCGUUAUCCGGAUUUAUUGGGCGUAAAGAGAGUGCAGGCGGUUUUCUAAGUCUGAUGUGAAAGCCUUCGGCUUAACCGGAGAAGUGCAUCGGAAACUGGAUAACUUGAGUGCAGAAGAGGGUAGUGGAACUCCAUGUGUAGCGGUGGAAUGCGUAGAUAUAUGGAAGAACACCAGUGGCGAAGGCGGCUACCUGGUCUGCAACUGACGCUGAGACUCGAAAGCAUGGGGUAGCGAACAGGAUUAGACUACCCCUGGUAG